UGUGUUACUUUGUGCCUUUGCAGAUUGAACAUUUUCUCACAAUGCUCCUCAACCGUCCAAUAUGUCCCGUUUAUUUUAGCAACGCUUGUCAAGAGAGAAAAUGGCUUUACAUUGUUUCCACAUUGAGGAAAACCUGCUGCUCCCUCAAAUCCUCUUUGGUAUGUUGUAGAUCUGGUGAAUAUCGAACCUCGGAUGGUGCGUUCUGUAUUUG
rnacentral:lncRNA from 1 species